rnacentral:rRNA from 1 species
CGUGUAGGCGGGUAGGCAAGUCAGAUGUGAAAUUCCAGGGCUCAACUCUGGAGCUGCAUCUGAAACUGUUUAUCUUGAGUGUCGGAGAGGAAAGUGGAAUUCCUAGUGUAGCGGUGAAAUGCGUAGAGAUUAGGAGGAACACCAGUGGCGAAGGCGGCUUUCUGGACGAUAACUGACGCUGAGGCGCGAAAGCGUGGGGAGCGAACA